AUACGUAGGUGGCAAGCGUUGUCCGGAAUUACUGGGUGUAAAGGGUGCGUAGGCGGGACUGCAAGUCAGACGUGAAAUGCCGGGGCUCAACCCCGGAGCUGCAUUUGAAACUGUGGUUCUUGAGUGAGGUAGAGGUAAGCGGAAUUCCUAGUGUAGCGGUGAAAUGCGUAGAUAUUAGGAGGAACAUCGGUGGCGAAGGCGGCUUACUGGGCCUUUACUGACGCUGAGGCACGAAAGCGUGGGGAGCAAACAGGAUUAGAUACCCUGGUAGUCCACGCUGUAAACGAUGAUGACUAGGUGUGGGGGGACUGAACCCUUCCGUGCCGCAGUUAACACAAUAAGUCAUCCACCUGGGGAGUACGGCCGCAAGGUUGAAACUCAAAUGAAUUGGCGGGG
rnacentral:rRNA from 1 species